CCGAGACCGGCCCACGCUACGUGCACCACCCCGGCUACGAGGAGGCGCAGUACGGUCCGCGCCGGCAGCACCAGGUAUAUCACUCGCAACGCGGCGGAAGGGUGGAGCCUCGGCCUGGUGAUCGACCAAUCGGCAGCUUCUACGAGUACGAGUCGGUGCAGGCGAUGAUGCGAUUGGGUGGCGGCAUGGGCGGCGGGGAGCAGUACUCCAAUCGCUCGCUGCCACGUCACCACGAGCGGAUUCGGUCCGUGGCAGCACACCCGCAGCCCGGCCACGUUCUGAAGCACGCCAUAUCUGCCGGGCCGGGCGUCAGCCGCCGGCCGCAGCCGCUGGGUAUCCCGACG